rnacentral:lncRNA from 1 species
GGUGUUCCGCUCCCAUCCUAACGGAACGAGCUCCCUCUUCGCGGACAUGGGAUUGCCCAGCGGCUGCUAACCCCUGUCCUGGUCCUGAUCCCUCAAACCGGCGUGGCUCCCCGGUCACCAAGGAGCUGACUACAAAGGAUUUGCAUCCUUGGCUGGGAGUCCAUUGGCUACAGAGUGCCUGACCUGGGUCAGGCUUUUCAACAAGGACAUGUCUGACAAAAUGUCUAGUUUCCUACAUAUCGGAGACAUUUGUUCUCUGUAUGCAGAGGGAUCUACGAAUGGAUUUAUCAGCACCUUGGGCUUGGUUGAUGACCGUUGCGUUGUACAGCCAGAAGCUGGGGACCUUAACAAUCCACCCAAGAAAUUCAGAG